rnacentral:rRNA from 1 species
CCUACGGGAGGCAGCAGUGGGGAAUUUUGGACAAUGGGGGCAACCCUGAUCCAGCCAUUCCGCGUGAGUGAAGAAGGCCUUCGGGUUGUAAAGCUCUUUUGUCGGGGACGAAACGGUUACGAUUAAUACUCGUGACAACUGACGGUACCCGAAGAAUAAGCACCGGCUAACUACGUGCCAGCAGCCGCGGUAAUACGUAGGGUGCGAGCGUUAAUCGGAAUUACUGGGCGUAAAGCGUGCGCAGGCGGUUUUGUAAGCCAGAUGUGAAAUCCCCGGGCUUAACCUGGGAAUGGCAUUUGGGACUGCAAGGCUAGAGUAUGGCAGAGGAGACUAGAAUUUCUGGUGUAGCAGUGAAAUGCGUAGAUAUCAGAAGGAAUACCGAUGGCGAAGGCAGGUCUCUGGGUCAAUACUGACGCUCAUGCACGAAAGCGUGGGGAGCAAACAGGAUUAGAUACCCUGGUAGUCCACGCCCUAAACGAUGUCAACUGGUUGUUGGGAGUAUUUAUUCUCUUAAGUAACGAAGCUAACGCGUGAAGUUGACCGCCGUGGGGAGGUACGGUCGCGAAGAAGUUAAACUAACGAAAGAAGUUAGUACGGACGUGAGACGUCGCCGACGGACGACGACGAGGGAGGAGG